rnacentral:rRNA from 1 species
GACGAACGCUGGCGGCGUGCCUAAUACAUGCAAGUUGAGCGCUGAAGGUUGGUACUUGUACCAACUGGAUGAGCAGCGAACGGGUGAGUAACGCGUGGGGAAUCUGCCUUUGAGCGGGGGACAACAUUUGGAAACGAAUGCUAAUACCGCAUAAAAACUUUAAACACAAGUUUUAAGUUUGAAAGAUGCAAUUGCAUCACUCAAAGACGAUCCCGCGUUGUAUUAGCUAGUUGGUGAGGUAAAGGCUCACCAAGGCGAUGAUACAUAGCCGACCUGAGAGGGUGAUCGGCCACAUUGGGACUGAGACACGGCCCAAACUCCUACGGGAGGCAGCAGUAGGGAAUCUUCGGCAAUGGGCGAAAGUCUGACCGAGCAACGCCGCGUGAGUGAAGAAGGGUGUCGGAUCGUAAAACUCUGUUGGUAGAGAAGAACGUUGGUGAGAGUGGAAAGCUCAUCAAGUGACGGUAACUACCCAGAAAGGGACGGCUAACUACGUG